rnacentral:lncRNA from 1 species
AUCGAUAUUUUGGGUUCACAAGGACUUUGACGUUACGAAAAAAUGAUUUGUCGGUUUGGGUUCACAAUACUCAUUGUAUGGGUUACAUUAUUUCUCUGGCGUUUUAGACUAACUUAGUUCUCGUUUCCAUGCAAAGAAAUUUUUUUAGAUAGAGAGACGGCUGAACUUUCAAUAUUCUUGUACCUGCAGAAUUGAGCAGAGGAAGAAGCUACAUACAUACAUGAAGAAUCAUCGGAGGAGUAACUUUGUGAGGUGACUUUUUUGAAUUUUUGUUUACUUUGACGAUAGCUUUGUUCCAGGAUUUAUUGUUUGCUUAUAUCUUCGUGGCUAAUACAGGUUUGAU